UGAAGUUGAUUACUUUGAGUCUUUAAUCAAAUGGGAUGAAAUUAAAUAAAACGAGAUGAGAUGAAAUUAAAUAAAAUCUCAGUAAAACGGUGGUUAUGAAAUUUUACCAGUGGACUUUUCGGAAGAAUCUGAGAAGCUACGUCCAGCGGCUUUGUUUAAUUUUCCCACAUUUGUGUACUUUCAUAGAUGCUCAAUGUUGGAUGGUUAAAAUUGAGGGGACUGGCUUUUGUAGGUGAGGGGCUAUUUAAAAACACCCUGCUUCAUGGUUAAUACAAUUAUAUGGCAAAGACUUUGUACACUAUUACACCAUUACAAUAUUUUAUUUUUAUAAAACCCUAAGAUGUUGCACUGUCCGUGUCUAGAUGAGAAGUCCUAGUCAUAACUGAAGAGAAGACAAUAAUCUGUUUUAAACAUUUAAAUAAACAUUCCAAUAUUCGAAAACUAUUACUUCACAUGUGACAAGUGUUGCCUGCCAUUCCUAUGGAGGUAAGGAGAACGGUCUCAGUGUGUAAAAAGUGUCCGAUAAAAUCUGCUAAAUAAGGGUGGUGCUACAGUAGCAACCGGGUAAAUUUAAAAAAAGGCGCUGAAAGUUAUUAGAAUAAGAUAGAGAAAUAAAAAGGAUGAAAGAACUGUGGGCACUACAAAAUCAAAAAAGUCUUUUUUUUAAAGCUGAUAAGAAAGUGCAAUCGAUGUCUCCACGUUUUACCAGAAAAAUAAUUUUAGGUUAUAUUGACGAAAUUAGUCUGAACUACGUAAACGUGUGAGGUCUUGUGUAUUACAUUGUCAGUAACUACUCUAGUCAUUAAAUAUAUUAAAUUUCCUAACUCAGCAUACUUCUAUCAGUUAACAACUGCUCAAUUCAUAUCAUACCCUGUGCCUAUGCUAGCGCCAUUCUGGAGGAUUUUUAAAUUGUUAUUUAGUGCUGAAAGUGGGACACUUUUUCAAAGUUCUCCCAUAUGAGACGAUUCUCCUUACCUCUACCCUCCAUAGCCAUUAGGUACUUACAUAUUCAAACUUCAACACUCAAUAGUUAAUAAGCCACAAAUAUUACUUACACAUUUAAACCAGAAUUGAUUUAAAAUCAAUAAGUAGAUACAUAUAUAUUAAUAAAAUAUAACAAUUCACACCACUUCGCUCCACACGCUCCUGCCAAAAAGUCCAGAUAAGGAAGUCCAAAUGUAAGAGGCCUUUCCAGAUUCACCAGGACGGGUGGGCGAGCAAGGGCUUAGCUACGAGGGGUGGGAUUUGCUAACAGCUGCCCGAGCGCCUCCAAAGGAGACCUAACAACUCAAGAAUUCCUGCUUCUCGAAUGAAUAUAUUAGUGGAUCGGAAUCGCGACCCGCUGAGAAGAUCCGGCGAGAAACUCAGCGGGCUGAUGCUUAGGUUAUGUUGCAUGUCGAACUCUUUGCCGAGUUUGACGAGUACGGUUACCGGGGUCCCUAGUCCUAGUGUUAGAACUGAAGGCGUCUAAUGCAAGGGUUAUUGGAUCUGAUGGAUCCGUAUGGACGUGCUUAGGGCGUUGACGGUGACUAGCUCCUGCUCCGUGAUCAGGUUUCCUAGAGUAGUCAGCGGCUGCAACGAUAAAGCGAUUAUCUUAUCGAAGUACCGUUCCGACGCUGACUUCAUGUAUUUCCGAAUUGAUUCGAGGUCCAGGUCGUCGUGUAGGUCAACGUUCCUCACGAACCACGGAGCUCCGAUGGCUUUGUUAUACACUGCAUUGAUCGACAAGAAUAUAUUUUAUAAGUCUUAACCAUGGAUAAUUCACUAAAUAUUUUAAACUGGUUAUAACAGUGUUUCUAGUAACUACCUUCAUGCUUUGAGUUGAAAAUAGAAGUCUUUCAAGGCUAUCAAUAAAAUCAACAAAAACGAUAUUCGAGUCAUAAUAAAUAAAAUAAAAAUAUAGGCUAAAGUAGUAUCAAUAAAGCCCAUAAUGGCAAUAUUUAAGGACAAUGAAAGGACAAACAUAUUUCAUUACUAUACUAUAUACUUGACUUGUAACUAUAAUUGAGACCUUAGAACUUAUAUCUCAAGGUGGGUGGCGCAUUUACGUUGUAGAUGUCUAUGGGCUCCAGUAACCACUUAACACCAGGUGGGCUGUGAGCUCGUCCACUCAUCUAAACAAUAAAAAAAAAUAAAAAAAAACUGUUUUUUGGUGUAGCAGUAACUAUCUUAGAACAUCAUUAUUGUAAUAUUUUUUAUAAAAGCCUGAAUUAAUAAAAGUUAUACGCAAACAACAUUCAGGUCACCAGUCUACCCAGCAACGUUUGCUCAGUGGAAGACCCACCCUUUGUCGUUUCCUCCAAAUGUAUUUCCAUAUUUUUUUAAACACUAUGUUUUGAAUAUGUAAAUAGUAUUUUUUGAUACAUAUUAGAAACAAUUUAAGUUACGGCCAUCUCUUGACCAGCUGCACACUGUCUGUCCGCCCUCUGUAUGCCCUUUGGAAUAGGAACCCUUAAAUUGACAAUUUAAGAUACAGAUCAUAUAUAUUCUUGUAUACUUUAUAUAUUAGUGUACCAUUUCUAGAAGUAUACACAAUAAUAUUGGGAGUCUUCUUAAUUUUGUUAAUUAAUAAUUUAAUAUUAAGAUCAAAUAAUAAUGAAAACAAGUGAAUAAUUCUAUAAUUUUUUUAUUUUGUUAAAUCACUUACAGACCAUAGGUCUUACAAAAUAAACUAUUGUUAUAACUUAAAUUAGAAAAUAUAUCAACUUAAUAUUAAACAAUAAUUCAAGAAAUUAGAUCACGAUUAGUGGUCAAUAAUAACAAAGCUGUACGAGAAAAAUGCAAUUAAUAAAGAUAUUUUUUGUUUAUUUUUCAUUUCCUUUUUUUUUUAAAUCACAAUUUAUUUGAAAUACAAUUCGCCUUCUAAAACGAAGGCAUUAAACUUUUUUUUUUCUUAUUUUAAAAACUUAUAACGAAAAUUCUUGUGAAAAACGCAAGUAAUGAGUAAUAAGUACAAUACCAGUGGAUAAUCAAUAAUAUAAAAAAUCUGCAUAAGAGUUAAAAAAUGCUUAAAGAAUAAUUUGAACUUUGAAACUAUUUCUGAUUUAACUUUAGGUACAUACGUACAACAUCAUUGACACAAACAAAACUAAGUCAUACAUACAGUACAUAAAGAUAUCCGUUGUCGAUAUUAGAAAUCAAUUUCAACACAUGGAAUGCGACCAUUUUGUUUGACUGCCGACUGGCUGGCUUAGAGCGCGUGGACUGCGAUACCCCGGCUGACUCUUGUUAAUCAAUCGGCUAUGGACGAAUACUUAUUUCAUAUAAAAAUGCACUUUUCAUUAUUCUGACUAGACCGCACACACACUUGUUAGCCCUCCUGUCACCGUCACACCGGGCUGUCACACUGACACUGACAAGCAAAUGUCGAUUGUUUUCACAAUUGAAUGUCUAAGGGCCUUCUGGACCGCUUCGUCGCGGGCUCCCAAUCUUUGAAUAGCAAAUUCGUCAGGAUCGGCGAUCGAUUGUGGGUUGUAGUUUUCAUUUGACGAUCAGACCGGGGUUCUUUUGGUACUCCAUCGGGAGGAAGAUGUGCAUCAGUUUCUCGAUUUCGCCUCUGCACAACGGACAGCGGUUGCAUCUGUAAACAAAUAACAAAAUCACAAUUAUAAAUACGAUUCAAAAAACUUCUUUAUUUCAACACGUCAUAUUCAUCAAAUUUUGAAUGUGUAAAACUUAAUAUAUCAAUAUAGUAAUCUGUGAUGUGAACUGAAACAAUUCUCGUAUCUCUAAAUAUGAGAUAUUUUUACCUUUAUCUUUUCCUCGGAUAAGUUCAUUCUGAACUAAUGAGUUAUUGUAUGUAAUGGAGAGAGUCUUGUAUUAAAAUAUUCCUUUGAUUUUAAUAAUGUUUUAAAUAUUUACUAAAUCAACGUAUAGAUGUCGCUAUCAUCAAGUUUUAACAUAUCAGCUGAACUUAUGUUAUAUUAAUGGACUUCAUAAGCUAUUGUAGAAGCAGCAGUCAAUAGUUUAUCUUAAUAUUAUUAGUAAUUUUUGAUUGCUUAGACAUGGUUCUUAAGUUAGUUAGUUACCUAGGAGCGCACUGUCCGCAGCAGACCACGUGUCGACACGGCAGGAACAGCGAGUCGAUGGGCUCGUCCAUGCACACGCGACACGCCAGCGCCUCACCGCCGCCGCCGCUACUGCUGCUGCUGCUGCUCGAUCUUGAACGGGUUUUCUGUGACAACAAGGAGGAAAUCGCCGGUCUUCCGCCCUUCACUGGGGAUGGAGGGCGGGGCAUGUCGGAGUCGAACCGACUAAAACCUGUCGCUCAACAAUCAGCAUCCAAACCUCGCAUGAGACAGAGCUCAUGAAAAGGCAAAAGGGGGAAAGUGAAGCGUUUAGUGCGGAGCCCUCCCUCUCCCAUCACCCUCUCCCUCGGGUCGCCGGACUGGCGGUCGUCGGCGCCACGACCACCAGCCCUCUCGGUCGGCAGGCUGUCCGAAGCCCGCCUAGAUGGCGCCGGUUAGAAUGGUCUAUCCUACGGAAUACCCCGCUGGGUCAGAACCAGCGUGGGUUGAGGAUAGCCGGCCUUCCAUCACCCGGAUGAAUUUCGAUUUACGUCAAAAAUGUUCUUAAUGAGUGACUACAUCGCAAAAGGAAUAUUUCUAUAUGCCAAAUUCAUAGUCGCUUCCGAGAUCUGUUGAUGUGUAAAUGGUAUAUUAUAUAGCUUUAUUAAAUGUAUGUACAUAUUAUAAUAUAGAUUGCUUGUAAAUGGUUUGCAAGCAUGAUGUGAUUAUGACAAUAUCGUGAUCAAGCGCAGCGUUUAACAUUUUACGUAAACAAUACGAAACACGGUAAACAAACAAAAACGUGAAUAAACCAUUUAAUGUUUUUUUUUCGUU